AGCAGCCGCGGUAAUUCCAGCUCCAAUAGCGUAUAUUAAAGUUGCUGCAGUUAAAAAGCUCGUAGUUGAAUUUCGGGACUAAUAUGUCGGUCGUGCCUCGGUACGUACUGGUGUUUUUGGUUUCUCCCUUCUGACGAACCUUGAUGUCAUUAAUUUGGUGUCUUGGGAAAUCAGGACUGUUACUUUGAAAAAUUAGAGUGUUAAAGCAGGCUCAUGCUUGAAUACAUUAGCAUGGAAUAAUG
rnacentral:rRNA from 1 species